CUCCUGUCUAUACCCUUUGUUCCAGAGUUUUUCAUAAGUUUUCAAAAAUAAAACUCAGAGUUCCCAGCAAUGAUUCUCUCAAGUCUCUCAAUAUGUGGUAUUUGUGGAUCCUUACCAUGAUAUCACUUACCUAUAGCUAAUGGAAUAUUUAAGUGGAGCUCAUAGGAGUGAAAAACAGCUCAUACAUAUGUUGUCUAAUCGAGCCAUGGAUCCAAAGGAACUCAGCAUAUAAUUAAAUCAAGAUGUGCAUGUGUGGUGGAGUAAAUGAUAGUGAUGGUGAAAAUGCAUAAGUGAUAAUAAAACUUAGUUCUCAUUGCUCCUUAUAUUGCUAUCUCUCCUCCUCUUUGAUCUUUGCCUUGGGAGAACAUGGGCUAUCUUUUUCUUUUCUUUUUUUUCAGGUGGAUAGUAGAUACCCCUAAUUCUACUGUCGGACACUUGUCCAUUUUUUCCGCUCAAGCGGGCAUCUUUGUACCCCUAAUUCUACUUCGGACACUUGUCCAUUUUUACCUCUCGUCUCACUCUUUUUCUUUCUUUUCCGAGGUUCCGGGCACUUGCCCCUUUUUAUUUCCUCGUAUAUUUUUGCAUAACCCAUGCCUCUUUUGCAUUGAAUCUUUUUAGAGAGAGAAUAACAAUAUUCGGGACACUGAGUAAAAAUAUUUUUAGCAAUUUUAAUGAUUGAUGAUGGGUGCUGUGGUAGAUGUGUGCAAGUGAAUAUCUUAAUUUAACCACAUGAAAAGCUCCUAAGGGUCUACACAGCUCGAUCAAACUCAAUGUAAAUAUAUUAAAAGAUGUUAUAGCAAGUAUGGCUGUGGUAGGUAGUUUUGUUAUGCUAGGAACUCAUCAUGUGAUUUGUAAGUUUUCAAAAAUAAAUCUCUAGAACUUGGUGUAGUAGGAACAAGAUAAACAGUAGCUCAACUUUAUAUCAUGCCUUUCUCUUACCUAGACUUUAGUUUUAUGCUUCCCAAAGAUAGUAAUUUUAGUUUUAGUAAUUCCUGGAAGAACUCUAAUAUAAAAGCUAGGUACUUGUAAGUAAGCAAACAGAGCAACUGUUCAUCAUUUCCAUCAUGCAUCUUUUUGGUCUUUUUAUUUUUUUUAGAGAUUAAACUUAGCAGAAAAAUAAAACACACUUAUCUACACACUCUUUUUAUUUUGUUUUCAUGUUUAUAAAGUGCAGUAAAUUAAAGCAAGAAAAUAUUUAUUUGGUUUUCUAAGCUUUUCCUUUUAAGAUAAAUUAAAUACUA
rnacentral:lncRNA from 1 species